ACCAUAGGCUUGGGUAUCGAGUAUCGAGUAUCGAUUGGAACCGGGACUAGCUUUGCGAUUUUCCCCGAAUCGUUCAAAAGUUUAAAUUUCGAUUCCUAGUUUCGAUUCCCAGUCCGCCGACUGGAAGAAGAAACUGCUUAACACCAACGAAGAAGCGUCCACCGAAAGUGUUGGCAUAGCCGAGCGAGUCGAACAUGGAUAGCGUGCGUCGGCGGUCCAAAGUGUGGCUUCAAUUUUCUAAAUAGAACGAAAUCUCGGCAAAAUGCAACAUUUGCGGCAAGAUUGUUUCGUGCAUAGGAGGGUGCACGUCGAACAUGAUAAAGCACCUCCGAGUUCAUGGAGUAGAAAUAAAUAAAUCUCUUUGAUGCGCUGCGCCGACCGUCCUCCGUUGCCUCUUCCUCUGGCUCCGACCCCCAGCCUGGCAAUCCACACGAGAUCCGAUUUUUUCGUAUCCGAUCUGAGCCACUUCCAAAUGUGGUUUUAAAUCCGAUACAUAUCCGAUCUCUGAACAUGCAACCUACGUCUAAACACGCAUAUCCGAUUCCUAUUGUAAUUCCAAGCCAUCAAACGGCGAGGGCGGCACGUUUGCUCACUAAACUAUAGCUUCAAUGUUGUAUUAUGAAGCAGACGUGCAUGUAUGCACUCGCACUAAAAAUUCGCAGCUCAAUAUUAAUGCGGGAACUUUGUCUAACAUGAAAGAAAUUGCGCACACACAUAUAUUCAGCAGCUUCGCACGCGCGCGCUCUCUCCCUUGCUCGCUCGAAUUCAUUCAAAAAACGGAAUUCUAAAACUAAUAAAUGUAGAUAAAAUAUCAAACACAAAUUACCUUUAUUUUCCGGUCUAUAUCCGUUCAGUCAGAAUUCGCGCUGCAAUACAUCCAUGACAGCUGUUAACUUAUCCAUUCUGACAGGCUAAUCAUGGCCACUCCAUGAAAUAUAUAAAUAAUUUUAAUAGCACGGCCAUUCAAAACCCGAGGAUCUACUAUGUGCAUUUAAAACUAUCAGUGACGAUCAUUUUGGGGCAGGAAGUAGCCUAAUGUAAACACAGAUAUCGAUACCAGUCGCGUCUAAAGUGAGUGUAAACACACUGGCCAAAAAAUCGGAUAUGGUCAAAAGAUCGGAUUUGUGCAUUAAGACUUGCCGUGUAAAUGCAGCCAUACACUCAUGUGUAAAUGUGUUUUCAAUAUAUUCAUAAUUUAUAAUAUUUAUAUUCAAGUUCAUAGAUUUGAUAUUUAUAUUGUAGUUGAAAACAGCCCUGUGAGAAAUUUAUAGUAAAGUUCAUAAAAAGUAAAAAGUUAAUAGAAUUAAAAUUGAUGGACAAGGUCAGACUAUUUCCUUCAGAAAGACCGUUGGUUAGCUAGCUCAUUUAAAAUAUCCUAAACUUUUUUUGACCCUGCCUCUUAAAAGAAUCGGAAUCGAGAAUCGUUAGGAACCGGAAUCGAAACAAGGAAUCGAAAUCGGAAUCGGAAUCGUUCAAAUUCAAACGAUACCCAACCCUACUGUCCACCCAAAAA